GAGUGCCGCUUGCCGCCGGCCGGCGUCGGCUGUGCCCCCGCUGCCCUGCCCGGCGUCCGCGUUCGCGGCGCCCCGGUGCACCGCCACGCUGCGGCGGGCGGCAUGGGAUAACGCGGCCAUGGUGCGCCGGGAUCGCCUCCGCAGGAUGCGGGAGUGGUGGGUCCAGGUGGGCCUGCUGGCCGUGCCCCUGCUGGCCGCGUACCUGCACAUCCCGCCACCCCAGCUGUCCCCUGCUCUCCACUCCUGGAAGACUUCUGGCAAGUUUUUUACCUACAAAGGGCUGCGCAUCUUCUACCAAGACUCGGUGGGCGUCGUGGGAAGUCCGGAGAUAGUGGUGCUUCUGCAUGGCUUUCCAACAUCCAGCUAUGACUGGUAUAAGAUCUGGGAGGGUCUGACCCUGAGGUUCCACCGUGUGAUCGCCCUGGACUUCCUUGGCUUUGGCUUCAGUGACAAACCGAGACCACAUCACUAUUCCAUAUUUGAGCAAGCCAGCAUCGUGGAGGCGCUUUUGCGGCACCUGGGGCUGCAGAACCGUCGGAUCAACCUGCUGUCUCAUGACUACGGCGACAUCGUGGCCCAGGAGCUGCUCUACAGGUACAAGCAGAAUCGAUCCGGUCGGCUUACCAUAAAGAGUCUCUGCCUGUCAAAUGGAGGUAUAUUUCCUGAGACGCACCGUCCUCUCCUGCUACAGAAGCUCCUCAAAGACGGAGGAGUCCUGUCGCCCAUCCUCACGCGGCUCAUGAACUUCUUUGUAUUCUCUCGAGGCCUCACCCCGGUCUUUGGGCCGUACACGAGACCCUCUGAGAGUGAACUGUGGGACAUGUGGGCAGGGGUCCGUAACAACGACGGGAACCUGGUGAUUGACAGUCUCUUACAGUACAUCAACCAGAGGAAGAAGUUCAGCAGACGCUGGCUAGGAGCGCUUGCAUCGGUCUCCAUCCCCAUUCACUUCAUCUACGGGCCACUGGAUCCCAUCAAUCCCUACCCAGAGUUUCUGGAGCUGUACAGGAAACAUAAUAAAAAGGUGAAUCGAGGAGUCUAUUCUCACAUAGACAUAAAGGUGAAGAAAUUCAGUCACAUAUUAUCUUGAUUUAUACAGUCUGUUUGCACUGGCAUGGCUACUACAUAAUCCUUGGUGUACAGGGAGAGCUGGAGAUGGGAACUCGCUGUGGAAAGGUGCCUUCUCACCGGCUGUUAUUCCGUGUAGGUACUUACGCAGAAGGUGUUGCAAUGUGAAAUCUUGCCUAUAUCAUGAAAGAAUCUUCAUAACUUCACAUGGCCGAGUGGACACAACCCAGCUGUAAACUGCUUACUUACAAUUUCACACAAAAAUACCCUCUCUCACCUCUUCCUGGAGUUAAGGAAGGGCCUUUGUCACCUUUGCUUGGGCAGUGAGUCGCUUGAGGGACGUGCUUCUCUGA